rnacentral:lncRNA from 1 species
GGUGGUGACAUAGACUAGAGUGAGCCUCUGCUUGGAGAAAAGUGGGCAGAUUGAGGGAAAAGAGAGAGAGAGAGAAAAAACAGAGUGUGUGUCUUCAGCUUCUAGAAUUGAUGGGAUGUAGGGGGUAAAGGAGGCAUGAGUCUAGAGUCACUCCCAGGCUCCAUGCUUGGAUGACUCGGUGGUUGAUGGGCUUUCAUUAGAUGGGGAACCCAGGAGGAGGGGCAGGCUUUAUUGGGGGAAAAUAAAGAGUUCGGCGUAGAAAGGUUGUUCUUGAGACCCUAAAGAAUACCCCAGAAGAAAUGUCUGGCAGCACAUGGUUCUGCUGCCAGGAGACAGCCGGCAGAAUGGAAAGAGGACUCAGACUGGACCCUGAGAACUUGAACAUCUCAUGGCCUGGUGAAAGAUAAGGACUGAAAAACAUCUUUGGCAUUUAGCAACAAGGAAGUCACCGAUGACUCUUGCAGGAACCUUGGAGCUGGGGACACAAAGCUCUUGUGUUUCAGGACCUCCAUUUCUGGACCCAGGGACUUGGGAGGACCAG